rnacentral:misc_RNA from 1 species
GACGGAGGAGGCAAGCGUUAUCCGGAAUUAUUGGGCGUAAAGCGUCCGCAGGCGGUUUUUUAAGUCUGUUGUCAAAGCCCACAGCUUAACUGUGGAUCGGCAAUGGAAACUGAAAGACUUGAGUGUGGUAGGGGUAGAGGGAAUUCCCGGUGUAGCGGUGAAAUGCGUAGAUAUCGGGAAGAACACCAGUGGCGAAGGCGCUCUACUGGGCCACAACUGACGCUGAGGGACGAAAGCUAGGGGAGCGAAAGGG